rnacentral:rRNA from 1 species
GACGAACGCUGGCGGCGUGCUUAACACAUGCAAGUCGAACGAUGACGACCGAGCUUGCUCGGUCUGAUUAGUGGCGAACGGGUGAGUAACACGUGAGCAACCUGCCCUUCACUCUGGGAUAACCUCGGGAAAUCGGGGCUAAUACCGGAUAUGAGCUCCUGUCGCAUGGCGGGUGUUGGGAAGUUUUUCGGUGAAGGAUGGGCUCGCGGCCUAUCAGUUUGUUGGUGAGGUAGUGGCUCACCAAGGCGAUGACGGGUAGCCGGCCUGAGAGGGCGACCGGCCACACUGGGACUGAGACACGGCCCAGACUCCUACGGGAGGCAGCAGUGGGGAAUAUUGCACAAUGGGCGAAAGCCUGAUGCAGCGACGCCGCGUGAGGGAUGACGGCCUUCGGGUUGUAAACCUCUUUCAGCAGGGAAGAAGCGAAAGUGACGGUACCUGCAGAAGAAGCGCCGGCUAACUACGUG